UACGGAGGGUGCAAGCGUUAUCCGGAUUCACUGGGUUUAAAGGGAGCGUAGGUGGGUUGGUAAGUCAGUGGUGAAAUCCCCGGGCUUAACCUGGGAACUGCAUUCGGGACUGCAUUGCUAGAGUAUGGGAGAGGGAAGUGGAAUUUCAGGUGUAGCGGUGAAAUGCGUAGAUAUCUGAAGGAACAUCAGUGGCGAAAGCGACUUCCUGGACCAAUACUGACGCUCAUGUGCGAAAGCGUGGGGAGCAAACAGG
rnacentral:rRNA from 1 species